UAUCCGUAGGUGAACCUGCGGAAGGAUCAUUAUUGUAUAACCGAGGUGCGAGGGCUGUCGCUGACCCGAAAGGUCGUGCACGCCCGAGUGCCCUCACACACAUCCAUCUCACCCCUAUGUGCACCACCGCGCGGGUCCCCCUUUGGCUUGUUCGGAGGGGGGCUUACGUUUUCACACAAACUUUGUAUGCAGUGUAGAAUGUAUUUUUUGUUUUUGCGAUCACGCAAUCAAUACAACUUUCAACAACGGAUCUCUUGGCUCUC
rnacentral:misc_RNA from 1 species